AAGCCCGGGAACUACUCUUGGAGCUUAACGAGUGCAGCUGGCUUUUGAGGCCGUUAUGUCAUCAAAGCCAUUCAAGUCUGUGGGGGAGAAAUGAGCUUUUUAACAUUUGGAAUCCCCUAUUUCACAAA